rnacentral:rRNA from 1 species
GACGAACGCUGGCGGCGUGCUUAACACAUGCAAGUCGAACGGAAAGGCCCUGCUUUUGUGGGGUGCUCGAGUGGCGAACGGGUGAGUAACACGUGAGUAACCUGCCCUUGACUUUGGGAUAACUUCAGGAAACUGGGGCUAAUACCUGAUAGGAGCUCCUGCUGCAUGGUGGGGGUUGGAAAGUUUCGGCGGUUGGGGAUGGACUCGCGGCUUAUCAGCUUGUUGGUGGGGUAGUGGCUUACCAAGGCUUUGACGGGUAGCCGGCCUGAGAGGGUGACCGGCAACAUUGGGACUGAGAUACGGCCCAGACUCCUACGGGAGGCAGCAGUGGGGAAUAUUGCACAAUGGGCGGAAGCCUGAUGCAGCAACGCCGCGUGCGGGAUGACGGCCUUCGGGUUGUAAACCGCUUUCGCCUGUGACGAAGCGUGAGUGACGGUAAUGGGUAAAGAAGCACCGGCUAACUACGUG